rnacentral:rRNA from 1 species
UACGAAGGGGGCUAGCGUUAAUCGGAAUUACUGGGCGUAAAGCGUGCGCAGGCGGUUAUUUAAGACAGAUGUGAAAUCCCCGGGCUCAACCUGGGAACUGCAUUUGUGACUGCAUAGCUAGAGUACGGUAGAGGGGGAUGGAAUUCCGCGUGUAGCAGUGAAAUGCGUAGAUAUGCGGAGGAACACCGAUGGCGAAGGCAAUCCCCUGGACCUGUACUGACGCUCAUGCACGAAAGCGUGGGGAGCAAACAGG